rnacentral:sRNA from 4 species
AUCCCCCAAACCAAGGGGGGAUGAGAACCACCGACCGGGGUUCGACACAAAAACGCCGGGAGCGUUUUUGAACAGAGCUUGCUCUGGCCCCGAAGGGGCGAGCAAAGCGAGUCAAUCCCCCCUCACCGCCA